GCCCAUGAACAAGAGUGCACCCCCUUUCCAAUCGGUUAAAGGUCUUAGGAUAGUUGGAGUUUAAGCGUCCUUGGGUUUGAAUAGUACUGGGCUGGGUGACCUCCCGGGAAGUCCAAAUUCAGGAGCUUACAUUAACCCCAAGUAUUCCAAAACGCUUAAUCGAUUGGAAAAAGGAGGUGCAUUCUUGUUCAUAGGCCC
rnacentral:pre_miRNA from 1 species